rnacentral:rRNA from 1 species
UACAGAGGUCCCAAGCGUUGUUCGGAUUCAUUGGGCGUAAAGGGUGCGUAGGCGGCGCGGUAAGUCGGGUGUGAAAUCUUGGAGCUUAACUCCGAAACUGCAUUCGAUACUGCCGUGCUUGAGGACUGGAGAGGAGACUGGAAUUUACGGUGUAGCGGUGAAAUGCGUAGAUAUGCGGAGGAACACCGAUGGCGAAGGCAAUCCCCUGGGCCUGCACUGACGCUCAUGCACGAAAGCGUGGGGAGCAAACAGG